rnacentral:lncRNA from 1 species
GACAUCAGCAACAGAAACAACCCCAACUGUACAAACAUCCUCUUCUACUCUUGGAACAAGCCCAUCUCCUGCAACCAGAUCAGAAGCUACUCUAUCCACUUCUCAGGAGACCACUUCUGCAGCUGGGACGACACCUCCAGCCACCUCCACCAUAGAAACAAUUUCUACUUCUACCCACACAAGUACAACACCUCCAGCCACCUCUACCAUAGAAACAACUUCUACUUCUACCCUCACAAGUACAUCACUCCCCAGCACCAGUGCAGCCCUCACAUCCAGUACUGGACAAACAUCCUCCACUGCUACCCAGGCCACAACACCAACUCAAACUACAUCUGCUAGCACUAACCCUACACAAUCAACUCUUGUGGAAACAACAUCAACAACUACAGUUCUCUUGCCAACAACACAAACAUCAAGCCAAGCAGAAGAAACGAGCACUGCACAGGUUGCAUCACAUUCCCACUCUACUACUACUAGCUCUUUUACUCGAACAGAACCUACACAUCUUGAAGCAGCAUCCAUAUCAUCACCUACUUCACCCUUGCUAUCUCUCACAUCUUCGGAAUCAACCACUGUAGUUUCUUCUUUCCUAGCCAGCACAUCCUCGCCUUAUCAUUUCAGAACUUAUUCAACAAAACCGACAUCAACACAUCCCUUUUAUGAUGUUGCAAGUACCUCUUAUUUUGAAAAAACUUCUUAUGUUAACGUUUCACCACUUCCUAUUACAUCUCCCACUCGGCCACCAACCACACCGGCAGGCCUCGAGCGUUUCACCGUCAACUACACCAUCACCAAUCUCCCCUACGAUUCCGACCUGGACAUUCCACACUCGGCAAAGUUCAACACCACCCAGAGAGUCAUGACCACCUUGGUAGGUAGCAUUCAACGGUGACAAGGCCAAAAGGAAAGCCUGACAAGACAACACCAGAGAAACCAACAGACACACCCAACACACAACCCUGCCAACAAUAACCAGCCGGUUACACAAG